rnacentral:rRNA from 1 species
AUUGAACGCUGGCGGCAUGCCUUACACAUGCAAGUCGAACGGCAGCAUGGAGAGCUUGCUCUCUGAUGGCGAGUGGCGAACGGGUGAGUAAAGCAUCGGAACGUACCGUGUAAUGGGGGAUAACGUAGCGAAAGUUACGCUAAUACCGCAUACGACCUGAGGGUGAAAGCAGGGGAUCGCAAGACCUUGCGUUAUACGAGCGGCCGAUGUCAGAUUAGCUAGUUGGUAGGGUAAAGGCCUACCAAGGCGACGAUCUGUAGCGGGUCUGAGAGGAUGAUCCGCCACACUGGGACUGAGACACGGCCCAGACUCCUACGGGAGGCAGCAGUGGGGAAUUUUGGACAAUGGUGGCAACCCUGAUCCAGCCAUGCUGCGUGAGUGAAGAAGGCCUUCGGGUUGUAAAGCUCUUUCGGCCGGGAAGAAAUCGCACAGGCUAAUACUCUGUGUGGAUGACGGUACCGGCAUAAGAAGCACCGGCUAACUACGUGCCAGCCGCCGCGGUAA